ACUAGUAAAAUAUUAAUGUAUAUAUUUCUUACAAAAAUAAAGUGGCUUCGAGCCUACUAGUU
rnacentral:tRNA from 1 species